UGUGGAAAACAAAAUAUUUGUUAGUAUUGACAUAACCAAUACAUUGUGAAAAUAAUCUCCGGAAAUUCCCUAUCAGUUAACAUUCGUGAUUAAAAAGUGUUCAACGCGGAAGAAUUCAUCAGUUCAAGAAAAAUAGACAGUGAUGUAUGUGCCCAGACUGUUAAGAAGAAAAAGGAAGUGAUUUGACAUCAAUAAAAAGAAUAAUAUGUCAACUAUACAACAACAAACGGAGGUAAUAGAGGAAGCACUGCCCGAGGACAUGAGUAGCUGAGCAGACUGUGAAAUCAGCUAAGGGAACUAAAUUCAAAAAUAUAGCGUUUGAGUGGACCACAAAUAAAAGACAAAUAGAAAACUGAGUGCCAACAAAUGGUUUCUGCAACAACGCGGAGAAGAGUCACGCGAGCAAGCGGUAGUAAAUGUGGAUGAUGGGAGAAUUAUUGGCCACUGGCGACGACAAAGACUUACGUGUAUUUGGCACGCCCAAUAAACUUUUUGCAAACGAGUAGUUACGUCCAAAAUUAUUAUCCAAAAUUUUUUAUAUAUUUUGUAAUAGCUUGUAA